rnacentral:rRNA from 1 species
GACGAACGCUGGCGGCGUGCUUAACACAUGCAAGUCGAACGGAAAGGCCCAGCUUGCUGGGUACUCGAGUGGCGAACGGGUGAGUAACACGUGGGUGAUCUGCCCUGUACUCUGGGAUAAGCCUGGGAAACUGGGUCUAAUACCGGAUAUGACCAACUGUCGCAUGGUGGUUGGUGGGGAGCUUUUGCGGUGUGGGAUGGGCCCGCGGCCUAUCAGCUUGUUGGUGGGGUAAUGGCCUACCAAGGCGACGACGGGUAGCCGACCUGAGAGGGUGAUCGGCCACACUGGGACUGAGACACGGCCCAGACUCCUACGGGAGGCAGCAGUGGGGAAUAUUGCACAAUGGGCGCAAGCCUGAUGCAGCGACGCCGCGUGAGGGAUGACGGCCUUCGGGUUGUAAACCGCUUUCACCAGGGACGAAGCGUGAGUGACGGUACCUGGAGAAGAAGCACCGGCCAACUACGUG